CGAGAUUUCACGAGAUCCCGUUUGCUCCAUCGUCCACAAUCAUGGUGGACUACAAGGAGGCGCCCUUGGCUUCUCGGCCAAAAACACUGGACCCAAACGAGUAUUUUAACCUCUCUCUGGAGAACCGCCGGGCCGAAGAGGACAAGUUGGCUAUGCGGUCCAACCUGAAGCUCCAGUACCAGACUCAGCUGAACAACCCGCACAGAAAGGCCCCUCAUUGAAGACCCGGCCCUGAAUCGCUGGAUGUAUGCCCGGUCCCACACCUACCCUUACUUCAAGGCCACAUCCAAGACCUCUCUGACUGGGCUCCUGUUUGGAGUGGUGCCUCUCUUUGCCUUUUACUACCUCUUCAAGACAGACAGGGACAAGAAGGAGGCGGAUAUUAUAGCUGGAAAGUACGAUCGCCGGUUCUCUCUGUCAUCAUGAGCUGCGCUGAGACCUUCAUGUUCUAGUGAUGCCAGUGUCUAUUAUUAUUAUUAACUGAAUAAAAUUAUAUUGUCAAAAACA